UACGGGGGGUGCGAGCGUUGUCCGGAAUCACUGGGCGUAAAGCGCGCGCAGGCGGUCAUCUACGUCUGGGGUGAAAGCCCGGAGCUCAACUCCGGGAUUGCCUUGGAUACGGGAUGACUUGAGGAUCGGAGAGGCAAGGGGAAUUCCACGUGUAGCGGUGAAAUGCGUAGAGAUGUGGAGGAACACCUGUGGCGAAGGCGCCUUGCUGGCCGAUUUCUGACGCUGAGGCGCGAAAGCGUGGGGAGCAAACAGG
rnacentral:rRNA from 1 species